rnacentral:rRNA from 1 species
UAAUACGUAGGGGGCAAGCGUUGUCCGGAUUUACUGGGCGUAAAGCGCCUGUAGGCGGAAGCUUAAGCGGUACCUGAAAGCCCCCGGCUCAACCGGGGAAGGUGGCGCCGAACUGGGCUUCUUGAGGGCGAUAGAGGAAGGUGGAAUUCCGGGUGUAGCGGUGAAAUGCGUAGAGAUCCGGAGGAACACCAGUGGCGAAGGCGGCCUUCUGGGUCGACCCUGACGCUGAGAGGCGAAAGCGUGGGGAGCGAACGGGAUUAGAUACCCCGGUAGUCCACGCCGUAAACGAUGGUCACUAGGUGUGUGCGGUAUCGACCCCGCACGUGCCGGCGCUAACGCAUUAAGUGACCCGCCUGGGGAGUACGGCCGCAAGGUUG